GACACAGUUAUUAAUGAAAGAGAAAGUAAACAAAGAGAGCCUCUCAAUGUUAGAUAGGUCCUUUAGUAAUGUUCCGCGAGAUUUCUCGUAAAGGUACACCAGGGUAGCACCACUUUUGUUAAUCCCUGAACAAUGUUUAGGUCAGCAAUGCGUCAGAACAUUGACGAUAGCACACUGAAAAGUGAAUAUUUUCGGGGAACGAUGUAUUCAGUACAGUAUUCAAACAAACUAAAAUUGGAAGAAUAAUAAACACAUUUAUCUGUAUACCCUGUUCAACGUGUUCGUGCAAAGCGUUUGAUGUGUGCCAGACGUGUGUGGCAAAGAUUGAUCGAGAAAUGAAGGUAUAGAUAUAGAAUAAUUAAUUAUGACGACUGGUCGCAAACUUGUCUCGACUGGACUACUCAUGACGCCCACACAAAAUGAUGUACUAGAAUGCCAUGCACGUAAGUGAUGACAACUUCCGUGGAUAAUCCGUGGGAGUGUUUCCGGAUUCCGAAUUGAUUGGUCAUUAGCCAGAUUCACACAUGUAUGGCGUUUAAGAAAUCUUAAACCCUCUGCUUCCAUAAUUAUUUACGUAAUUGAUGGACGAUUUCUAGUGCGGAGUCAUUGAACGAUUAAAUGCACAAUUGCAUUUAAGUGAAUGCCUUCUUCCGGUUUUGUUAGUUAGAAAA